UGUUAGAGGAAGGGAAAAAAUAUUGCA
rnacentral:piRNA from 1 species